AUACUUACCUGGCAGGGGAAACACCAUGAUCAUGAAGGUGGUUUUCCCAGGGCGAGGCCAACCCAUUGCACUGCAGGUGUGCCGACCUCUGUUCCCAGGGCGAGGCUAACCCAUUGCACUGCAGGUGUGCUGACCUCUGCGAUUUCCCCAAAUGCGGGAAACUCGGGUGCAUAAUUUGUGGGAGUGGGGGACUGCGUGCAUGCUCUCCCCUG
rnacentral:snRNA from 1 species